GGGCCUAUAGCUCAGUUGGGAGAGCGUUCGGUUCGCAUCCGAGAGGUCGAGGGUUCGAAUCCCUUUAGGUCCACCA
rnacentral:tRNA from 1 species